rnacentral:rRNA from 1 species
UACGGGGGGAGCAAGCGUUGUUCGGAUUUACUGGGCGUAAAGGGCUCGUAGGCGGCCUCUGCAAGUCGACUGUGAAAUCUCCGGGCUUAACCCGGAAAGGUCAGCCGAUACUGCAGGGCUAGAGUGCAGAAGGGGCAACUGGAAUUCUCGGUGUAGCGGUGAAAUGCGUAGAUAUCGAGAGGAACACCUGCGGCGAAGGCGGGUUGCUGGGCUGACACUGACGCUGAAGUGCGAAAGCUAGGGGAGCGAACGGG